rnacentral:rRNA from 1 species
UGCAGUCGAACGGAGUAGCAAUACUUAGUGGCAGACGGGUGAGUAACAUGUGGGUAUCUUCCCUUUGGUGAGGAAUAACAUGAGGAAACUUAUGCUAAUACCUCAUAAGUCUUUACGGAGAAAGCUUUAUGCGCCAUUGGAUGAGCCCGCACUUGAUUAGUUUGUUGGUGGGGUAAUGGCCUACCAAGACAAUGAUCAAUAGCUGAUUUGAGAGGAUGAUCAGCCACAUUGGGACUGAGACACGGCCCAAACUUCUACGGAAGGCAGCAGUAGGGAAUCUUGCACAAUGGAGGAAACUCUGAUGCAGCGAUGCCGCGUGAGUGAAGAAGGCCCUUGGGUUGUAAAGCUCUUUCGUCGGGGAAGAAAAUGACUGUACCCGAAUAAGAAGGUCCGGCUAACUUCGUGCCAGCAGCCGCGGUAAUACGAAGGGACCUAGCGUAGUUCGGAAUUACUGGGCUUAAAGAGUUCGUAGGUGGUUAAAAAAGUUGGUGGUGAAAUCCCAGAGCUUAACUCUGGAACUGCCAUCAAAACUUUUUAGCUAGAGUAUGGUAGAGGAAAGUAGAAUUUCUAGUGUAGAGGUGAAAUUCGUAGAUAUUAGAAAGAAUACCAAUUGCGAAGGCAGCUUUCUGGAUCAUUACUGACACUGAGGAACGAAAGCAUGGGUAGCGAAGAGGAUUAGAUACCCUCGUAGUCCAUGCCGUAAACGAUGUGUGUUUA